GAAGCAGCCCUCCACGUCAGGUCAGGAAAGAGGAUUAAGAAGACCAGGAAGUAUGACAUAAUCACCACUCCAGCUGAGCGGGUAGAAAUGGCUCCUCUGAAUGAAGAAGAUGAUGAGGAUGAAGACUCAACAGUGUUUGAUGUGAAAUACAGGUAGAGCAGUUCUGUGGAGCACUGGUGCCCUGCCAGAUGGCAUUCUGCUGUUGAGGGACCUGCUGAAGCCAUAACUGUGAAAGGAGAGGCUUUCAUCUCUGCAGCAUUACAACCAAACCAAGCCUCAUCUCCUCGAGGUGCUGUUUGUACGGCAGGCUACAAAUCUUCCGACCAAAAUGUCACCAUUCGGUUCCCUGGUUUCCAAACCACUAUGUUGGAAUGAUGGAGUUCCUCCUCGCCAACUCAGCUCCCUCUUGCUUCAAGAGGACUGCUAUGUCACUAAAGCAUGACAAGAUUCAGCCCUGUGUACUAACUUGCAGCUCAUUAUGGUCUAAAUAAGUUUUGCAGAAGAAGGAAGAAGAGGAAGAUUCAAUCAAGCUGCCUCAAGGACUUAUUUUCCCAAUUCAGUACUUUCAUCACUGUUAAACUUUGCUCGCUGUAGGACAGCUCAUACAUUUAAAUAUUAAGAAGGGUAUUUUCUUUCUGGCCUUACAGAAGUGACUUGUGACUUUAGGUGGUAAAAAUGUAAGCCAUGUUGAAAUGCAGUACUAUGUUUAGUAUAGGAUUUUAAGGGGAAAAAGGUGAGAGGUUGACUCAUGCAGAAAAUUUUCUUGACUUGCUACUGAUUUUUUAAACAUUACAGUUGCACUAUGCUUUCAUAAUGACAUUUUCAUUGUCCCUAGGAGCUCUGAUCAGACCAACAAUAAAUGAGAUCACAGGGAAAUAGGAGGAAUCAGACAUGCCCUAAACUACAACAAUCUUGGAUUUAAAAAAAAAAGAUAUAUUUUUGUAAUUUUCUGCCCUUCCAUAGGGAGUUUAAGUGUUUUGUACUGUUGUGUGUCCUACGCUUACUGUAACUUGUGUACCAAUCAUCUGUAUUACCUUUUUUCUAAGCAGAGUAAGUCCUCACACGGAAUGAUUUGACUGCAGAAAGACCACUACUUAUAUGUCACAGCAGCUUUAUAUAAGUGAUCUUAAUCUGUAAAAAACUGGAAGUUUUCCCUUACCACCUGCUUGGCAAAUCCCAUUAAACUCAAGGAUGCAUUUUGAACCAUUACUCCCUGCUGUGCUUCGCGCUGCAGAGGUCAGAGCUGUGGGAGGACACUAAUAAAAUGAGAUAGCUGCAUCUGGAUGGAUCAGGCUAAGGAAACCACAAGCAUGUAUACUUUCCAGGCAGUCAUUAGAAAAGGCAAGCCUAACUGGUUUUGUUUCUUCACGUUGUGGUUUUCCUCUAGAAUAACCACAGAUGCAGCUCAGAUUUCUCUUUGAUGCGUUUACUCUUCAUUUGCUUCACCCUUGAAACCUUCAUAGUUUGGGUUUAAAAGCUCCCUGGAGAACCUUGCUUUUCUUGGGAACCACACGUUUUCUGUUUGUCUUAGGAUCGUCCCAGUGUUUGCUUGACUUACUCCUACAGUUACAACCCUUCAAGGAGACUGCAGAGUAUCUGGCAAAGAACCAUCCUUGCAGUGAGUUGCCUUUUUUUUUUUUUUCCUGUGGAAUUGAUGAUUGCUGAGAACACCAGACUGCUUUGUCAUGAUACCAUAACCUAUGCUGGUUCUGCAUGGUUCCCAUGGGCCCUGCAGUCCGUAAGAGGAGGAG